rnacentral:rRNA from 1 species
UACGGGGGGGGUAAGCGUUGUUCGGAAUUACUGGGCGUAAAGGGCUCGUAGGCGGCCAACUAAGUCGGACGUGAAAUCCCUCAGCUUAACUGGGGAACUGCGUCCGAUACUGGAUGGCUUGGAUUUGGGAGAGGGAUGCGGAAUUCCUGGUGUAGCGGUGAAAUGCGCAGAUAUCAGGAGGAACACCGGUGGCGAAGGCGGGUCUCUGGGCCGAUACUGACGCUGGAGGAGCGAAAGCGUGGGGAGCGAACAGG